CCUACGGGCGGCAGCAGUAGGGAAUAUUGCUCAAUGGGGGAAACCCUGAAGCAGCAACGCCACGUGGAGGAUGAAGGUUUUCGGAUUGUUAACCCCUUUUGUUAGAGAAGAUAAUGACGGUAUCUAACGAAUAAGCACCGGCUAACUCCGGGCCAGCAGCCGCGGUAAUACGGCGGGUGCAAGCGUUACUCGGAAUCACUCGGCGUAAAGAGGGCGUAGGCGGGAUAGCAAGUCAGAUGUGAAAUCCUAUGGCUUAACCAUAGAACUGCAUUUGAAACUGUUAUUCUAGAGUGAGGGAGAGGUAGGUGGAAUGCUUGGUGUAGGGGUAAAAUGCGUAGAGAUCAAGAGGAAUACUGAUUGCGAAGGCGACCUGCUAGAACAUAACUGACGCUGAUGCGCGAAAGCGUGGGGAGCAAACAGGAUUAGAUACCCCAGUAGUC
rnacentral:rRNA from 1 species